rnacentral:rRNA from 1 species
UGCCCCAGUAACGGCGAGUGAAGCGGCAACAGCUCAAAUUUGAAAUCUGGCUUCGGCCCGAGUUGUAAUUUGCAGAGGAAGCUUUAGGCGCGGCACCAUCUGAGUCCCCUGGAACGGGGCGCCACAGAGGGUGAGAGCCCCGUAUAGAUGGACGCCUAGCCUGUGUAAAGCUCCUUCGACGAGUCGAGUAGUUUGGGAAUGCUGCUCUAAAUGGGAGGUAAAUUUCUUCUAAAGCUAAAUACCGGCCAGAGACCGAUAGCGCACAAGUAGAGUGAUCGAAAGAUGAAAAGCACUUUGAAAAGAGGGUUAAAUAGCACGUGAAAUUGUUGAAAGGGAAGCGCUUGUGACCAGACUUGCGCCGGGCGGAUCAUCCGGUGUUCUCACCGGUGCACUCCGCCCGGCUCAGGCCAGCAUCGGUUCUCGUGGGGGGACAAAGGUUCCGGGAACGUAGCUCCUCCGGGAGUGUUAUAGCCCGGGGCGUAAUGCCCUCGCGGGGACCGAGGACCGCGCUUCGGCAAGGAUGCUGGCGUAAUGGUCAUCAGCGACCCGUCUUGAAACACGGACCAAGGAGUCAAGGUUUUGCGCGAGUGUUUGGGUGUAAAACCCGCACGCGUAAUGAAAGUGAACGUAGGUGAGAGCUUCGGCGCAUCAUCGACCGAUCCUGAUGUUUUCGGAUGGAUUUGAGUAGGAGCGUUAAGCCUUGGACCCGAAAGAUGGUGAACUAUGCUUGGAUAGGGUGAAGCCAGAGGAAACUCUGGUGGAGGCUGGCAGCGGUUCUGACGUGCAAAUCGAUCGUCAAAUCUGAGCAUGGGGCGAAAGACUAAUCGAA